rnacentral:rRNA from 1 species
UACGUAGGGCGCAAGCGUUGUCCGGAAUUAUUGGGCGUAAAGAGCUCGUAGGCGGCUUGUCACGUCUGCUGUGAAAUCCCGGGGCUCAACCCCGGGCGUGCAGUGGAUACGGGCUGGCUAGAGGCAGGCAGGGGAGAACGGAAUUCCCGGUGUAGCGGUGAAAUGCGCAGAUAUCAGGAGGAACACCGGUGGCGAAGGCGGUUCUCUGGGCAUUACCUGACGCUGAGGAGCGAAAGUGUGGGGAGCGAACAGG